rnacentral:lncRNA from 1 species
GAAAAACUACCCUCCGCAUAGGCUCUGGUCUCAUCGCAUACUCAGUCUCAAUGGGAUUUCCUUAAGAGUCAAAACCCCGACAAUUGCAUGAAGCCGGAAGCUCAGCAAUCUUCUGAGGGCAUCUAUCUUGUUUUCUAAGAAGCAUUUUGGAGGUUUUUCUUUACCUGGAGAAAGCACUGGCUAGAGCUAUCUGAAAGCAACAGUGUGUUCAGCAAGCUGGAACUAAACUGUUACUGAAUGGAGAGUUCCCAUCCUGCCUCAGUGGAAUCAAAGAAAAGAGAAAGGCUCCAAAAUGAACACAAUGCGUGUUAUUUGCUACCAUAAACUGUGCAACUGGUUUCUACUGCUGUGUUGCAAUUGAAUAGUAAUCAGGAGAAGUUACACGUUGUUCUUAGAAAUAAUACAACGAAUCCUGUCAAUCUUAAGUCCUGACACUGAAUUUAACGCUCUCUGUUUAGUCCUACCAUCAAGGAUGAUUUGCAGGUGAAGAAUUCUUGAUAGUCAGAUGCAGACUACGUCUUCAGAUCCUAUGGCCUAAGGUUAUUAAGGUGGGAGAAGCAAAACAAAUGCGGUUCUCAUCCAGUAAUAAUGGAUUUACAAGAAUUUGAAACAAAACUUUCCUUCCAGCUACUGCUUUCAUGUCAGAGAAAUAAAAUACAUGUACAAGAUUUAAAGCUUUAUGUGUCUAACCCUUUCUGACCCCUUUUACAUUCAGUUAUUAAUAAUAAUAACUAUGAUAAUAUUGCUUAUGCCCAGGGCUGAAAUGAGGGUUAAUUAGUUAAUAUUUAUAAAGCUUUCUGAAAAUGAAAAGUACUGUUUAAGCCCUAAGUGUAUUCUUUUCUUCUUUCACUCUCUUCUUUCAUUUCCUUCUUUUAUCACAGAUCAAUUGAUUCUUCCUCCCAUCUGGCUAAUUUUUUUCACUGGUUAUAUUUCCUGCUCGUUUUGGAUUAUUGCCCUUGACUCCACAUUGACCUCAAUCACUCUUACCCUUCAACAUUGUGUUUGCUCUUUUUGCCUCCCACGCUUUAGUCACUUCUUUCUCACUUUCAUUUCUUCUUUCUAGUCUUCCUUUAUCCACUCCUAACACUAAUCUCGUAGCUGUAGACUUAUCUUUUUCAUUGUCCUCAUUUUUUAAGCAUAGGUGAAAUACCGGAAUUGAUAUAGAUUUAAUUUAAUUUUAUCUCCUAUGUUAUGCAUUAUUGAGACCAGAAAGUAGAUAAAUCAAAUUGGUCAUACCCAAUCCUUUCCUACAAGAUAGUAAAUGUUUUGAAGUCACAGACUAUUGCCAUCUGGAAUAGUCCUUCUUUUGUAACCCAGUAUAAUCUCCACAAAAAUGUUAUUUUUAAAAAAUCCCUCCACUCUAUAACAUUCUGAUGACCUGUAAGCUUUCAAGAAGUCUUCAGUGAAAACCUGUCUCUACUAAAAAUACAAAAAAUUAGCCGGGUGCGGGUGUCGGGCGCCUGUAAUCCCAGCUACUCAGGAGGCUGAGGCGGGAG